UGCCGCGUGUGUGAAGAAGGCCCUCGGGUUGUAAAGCACUUUCAGCGAGGAAGAACGCCUAGCGGUUAAUACCCGCUAGGAAAGACAUCACUCGCAGAAGAAGCACCGGCUAACUCCGUGCCAGCAGCCGCGGUAAUACGGAGGGUGCAAGCGUUAAUCGGAAUUACUGGGCGUAAAGCGCGCGUAGGUGGCUUGAUAAGCCGGUUGUGAAAGCCCCGGGCUCAACCUGGGAACGGCAUCCGGAACUGUCAAGCUAGAGUGCAGGAGAGGAAGGUAGAAUUCCCGGUGUAGCGGUGAAAUGCGUAGAGAUCGGGAGGAAUACCAGUGGCGAAGGCGGCCUUCUGGACUGACACUGACACUGAGGUGCGAAAGCGUGGGUAGCAAACAGGAUUAGAUACCCUGGUAGUCCACGCCGUAAACGAUGUCGACCAGCCGUUGGGUGCCUAGCGCACUUUGUGGCGAAGUUAACGCGAUAAGUCGACCGCCUGGGGAGUACGGCCGCAAGGUUAAAACUCAAAUGAAUUGACGGGGGCCCGCACAAGCGGUGGAGCAUGUGGUUUAAUUCGAUGCAACGCGAAGAACCUUACCUACUCUUGACAUCCUGCGAAUUUGGUAGAGAUACCUUAGUGCCUUCGGGAACGCAGAGACAGGUGCUGCAUGGCUGUCGUCAGCUCGUGUUGUGAAAUGUUGGGUUAAGUCCCGUAACGAGCGCAACCCUUG
rnacentral:rRNA from 1 species